UGGACUAUCGCCAAGCGGUAAGGCAGCGGGUUUUGAUCCCGCCAUUCCCAGGUUCGAAUCCUGGUAGUCCAGCCA
rnacentral:tRNA from 1 species